GAGGCUCUCACCCAUACUCAGCAGGUCGCGCGCAGGACUGAAGCCCCACCAAGUGACGCAGCCCACACCCUCAAACACCCGUCCAGCACUCAUCCUGUGGCCGAAACAAAGUCACAGCCGUCCACUGGCCUAUAAAAACAUCAGAGCAAUGGAUAUUCAUCAUGAUGAUCUAGACCAGCAUUUUUUGAAAACACAGAAGAUGAAGCAUCCCAC